rnacentral:misc_RNA from 1 species
UUUCCGUAGGUGAACCCGCGGAAGGAUCAUUAACGAAUAAUCGAGGCACGAGGUCUGUCGCUCACACGCUAGGUCGUGUACGCCCGAUUGUCCUCACACUCAACCAUCUCACCCCGAUGUCCUCCACCGUGUCGGUCCCCGUUUGGCCUGUUUGGAGGGGGGCUUACGGAUUCACGCGAAUUUUGUAUACAGUGUAGAAGGAAUUAUUUGUUUUGUCGACCACGUUAUCACUACCAAUUUCAACAACGGAUCACUUGUCUCCUGCAUUGAUGAAGAGAG